CUGAAGCCGGUAGAUAACACAUGGGUU
rnacentral:piRNA from 1 species